rnacentral:rRNA from 1 species
UACAGAGGGUGCAAGCGUUGUUCGGAAUUAUUGGGCGUAAAGCGCGUGUAGGCGGCUUUGCAAGUCGGGUGUGAAAGCCCUCAGCUCAACUGAGGAAGUGCGCCCGAAACUGCAGAGCUUGAGUGCCGGAGAGGGUGGCGGAAUUCCCCCAAGUAGAGGUGAAAUUCGUAGAUAUGGGGAGGAACACCGGUGGCGAAGGCGGCCAUCUGGACAGAUACCGACGCUGAGGCACGAAAGCUAGGGGAGCAAACAGG